rnacentral:lncRNA from 10 species
CUACGCCAUCGCUGACGGCUGGGGUGAACUUAUAAUGGUUGAGUGGAGCGCUCGGAAAUAGUUGGUCUUCAGUCUCGUCAGGGCCUCUGCUCACGAACGAAAGAGCUCAUUCAGAGCACAUCAAUAACCAGAACAUAGUGCAUAGUGUUGCAAUUCAACACAGGACUCCUAGACAAGCGACUCAAAGUUUCUGGGCGCUGGAGCUUGCCCGCUAGCUGCUGAAAUCCGCGGACACCACGUUCACACCUAAUUCUCACGAACCCGCAGAAAGGGAGUAUUGAAUUGAGAGUCCAAGCAACCUCAAGCCUCUGAAUACCCAUGGGAGAAGCAACGGGAAUUAAAUGAAGGCACGAGAGUGGGGGGUCAUCUGCGUUUACGUACAGUUAAAAUCUAAAUCAGGAGCUUCUUCGAUGACAUUCAACUGACUUACUCUUCCGAAGGAACGGCUAAAACCGGACUGGAGCGGGCGUGCUAGCUGAGGAGGGAGCUUGUUUCUGUCCUAACUGGAAAAGAUGACUCUGAAGAGGUCUCUGACUCUUCAGGUCAUUACCAAGCCACUAGAAACGACAUGCUGGAAGACUGUAAUAGUUCUGGGAAAAUGCUUGUGACAUAAUGUUCACUGACAAAAGUAGGAGGCAAUAAGCGUGACUUAAUCUACGCAAAAUUUUUGCAGGUAAAAUCCUGCGGUGAACUCAUAAUGGAUGCGUGGAGCGCUGAGAAGCAGUUGGUCUUCACAGUCUCGUGCAGGUCUCUCCUCAUGAGUGAAAGAGCUCUUUCAGAACACAACAAGAACCAGAAUAUUGCACUUAGUGUUGCAAUUCAAUACAGGACUCCUAGACAAGCGACUCAAAGUUCCUGGGCGCUGGAGCUUGCCCACUAGCCACUGAUAUCCGCGGACAUCACGUUCACACCUAAUUCUCACGAACCCGCAGAAAAGGAGUAUUGAAUUGAGAGUCCAAGCAACCUCAAGUCUGUAAAUGCCAAUGGGAGAAGCAACGGGAAAUAAGGGAACGCAUGAGAGUGGGGAGUCAUCUGCAUUUAAGCACAAUUAAUAUCUAAAUCAGGAGCCUCUUCGAUGGCGUUCAACUGACUUGCUCUUCCAAAAGAACGGCUAAAACUGGACUGGCGCGGGCUUGCGAGCAGAGCUUGGAAGGACCCUGUAGGAGCUGCCUAGCAGUUCGGAUCACAGAACACUGUUCCCAAGGCUCUUCGUGCAAGAUCCAAGAGCAAAUCUGUUUCCAGGGGCAGAUAAGGUAAGUCCGUGCCUCCCCUGGACUCUUAGCAACAGCCUGCGGGGCUCCCCAGCCUCGGUUCUGCGGCCCUAAGCCGGGCUGCCCCGAUACAGGGGGAGAGGGCACCAACCUAGCCGCGCUGACAGAUUGCGUUGUUGGAAGAACCGCGAGGCUCGCCGCCUCCCGAGCGUUUGUCCGGCGUUCUUUGCUCCUAACGCUAGGAACACUUUUGAAAGUUCCAUUUCGUAACGUAUAAAUUAUGGAUGACUUAAAUUGAGGCGGCGUGUCAACUAGUCCUGGCACCCGUGGCGUUGCCGAGGGUAAAAAACAAAAAACAGGACACCAAAAGAUGCUUUCUGCUUCCCGGGAAGGCUCCACCUCGUGGAUACCAAAGAGUAAAGCACUGUUAAAAGCUCGAAUAUUUGCAAGGCAGGAUUUUGUAAUUAGUUUCUCACUGAUAAAGCUUUAACUUGGUCUUUCUCAAUGGGAUUAACUGAGAACCUCUCCCAAAAUAUUCAGCAGUAAAAAUUUACUGAUACCAAGACCCGGACAUGACUUGUCUAGGAGUGUUCAUUGCAGGAGAUAAAAGCGAUCUUAUGUUGUCAAACAGAAAGGCUGAGGAAGGAGGCAGAGGGUCUUUAAGAGUAAAUAAUCUCAGGUGAUAGGAUCUGAACCUUCCCAACAAGAUCACAUGAGAGGUAUCGGCAUCUGCCAAAAUUACUUUAUUGCUUAGAGACGUCUAGUGUCAUGGACAAAAAUCCUUCCUGCUUCAAUGAGGCGGCACUGUCACUACCAGGUUAAAAUGGGUCCCGCCCGUAGGGCCGUGGGCUCUGCGGCAGGAGCUGCAAUGGCCGCUGUACAGUGGCAAAGAGAAUAUCCGUACAUAUCUCAUCCAGUCCAUCUUCUCCCAGCCCUAUGACUUUCUGAUCCACUCACUACCAGAAAGCAAGACAGAAUGAAACCCUCUUACCAAACGGGAUAACUAAAGGUGGUUUCCAGGAGCCUCGGGAACAAGAAGCAUGAGGAUCCUAAGCAUUUUCAAUAAAAAUCUAGCCCACUGGAGGCUUUUGAAAAACUGAAGGUCCAUGUAACAAAUUUAAGAUGAGCAUUUCUAAGGGCUAGGGCUUGUACCAAGUUCUGUGCUCUCUGAAAAAAAAAAUUAAAAAUAUAUGCCUGUAAUGGUCAAAGCUGAAACAAUUUGAGAAACAAUAAAUAGAAGACUUCAAACCAAUCCCUAC